CCCUUAGAUGUUCUGGGCCGCACGCGCGCUACACUGAUGCAUUCAACGAGCCUAUCCUUGACCGACAGGUCCGGGUAAUCUUUGAAUCUGCAUCGUGACGGGGAUAGAUUAUUGCAAUUAUUAAUCUUCAACGAGGAAUGCCUAGUAGGCGCAGGUCAUCAGCUUGCGUCGAUUACGUCCCUGCCCUUUGUACACACCGCCCGUCGCUCCUACCGAUUGGGUGUGCUGGUGAAAUGUUCGGAUCGGCCGUUUGUCGCGGUUUCCGCGGCUCGUGGCUGAGAAGUUCAUUAAACCCUCCCACCUAGAGGAAGGAGAAGUCGUAACA
rnacentral:rRNA from 1 species